GACGAACGCUGGCGGCGUGCUUAACACAUGCAAGUCGAACGGAAAGGCCCUGCUUUUGUGGGGUGCUCGAGUGGCGAACGGGUGAGUAACACGUGAGUAACCUGCCCUUGACUUUGGGAUAACUUCAGGAAACUGGGGCUAAUACCGGAUAGGAGCUCCUGCUGCAUGGUGGGGGUUGGAAAGUUUCGGCGGUUGGGGAUGGACUCGCGGCUUAUCAGCUUGUUGGUGGGGUAGUGGCUUACCAAGGCUUUGACGGGUAGCCGGCCUGAGAGGGUGACCGGCCACAUUGGGACUGAGAUACGGCCCAGACUCCUACGGGAGGCAGCAGUGGGGAAUAUUGCACAAUGGGCGGAAGCCUGAUGCAGCAACGCCGCGUGCGGGAUAACGACCUUCGGGUGGUAAACCGCUUUCGCCUGUGACGAAGCGUGAGUGACGGUAAUGGGGAAAGAAGCACCGGCUAACUACGU
rnacentral:rRNA from 1 species